UUACACAUCUGCAUAGAAUUAACCACCCCACCUGGGAGACAUACCAUGUUACCAGAUCAUUCCGUCAUUAAGUUUUUAGUUUUGUCAAAACCCCACAUCUUUUUUAUUGACACAAAAAUGAGUCAUGCAGCUAAAAGCUAAGAUCCAACUACUACUUUUCGUCCAUAUAAAGGGUGAAGAAGCAUUGUUGGAUCUCAGAAAAGCUUGUUGUUUCUGACUGAUCUUAGGUGUUUUUGAACAUUCUGAAGCAUUCAUUUCAUUGCUUAAAACCAAAGAAAGGAGGUAGAUAUGAAACUGCAACUUUGGAAAAUCGACAUUUACGAAGAAAUUGCACCCAAAAUAUGCUGUUGGAAUUCCAGUCAAUUCAGGAGUAACUUCAACCAGACUUUUACCUGAUCCGGCUGGCCAAUACAGUGUUACGCCUUCUCCUUCCAAUGAGCACUCCAAAAUCAGAAAGAGCAGAGCAAAUUCAGUAAUCCCUGGGAUGAACAAAUUUGGAGAACUGAUGUACAAUUUCGCUCAAGGAUUCCGAGAGCAUGUGAAAUUAGGACCCAAGUUCACUGAAACUUUGAAAGGGAAGUUGAGGCUCGGAGCAAGAAUCCUUCAGGUAGGCAGACUGGAAAAAGUUUUCCAGCUAAACUUCAAUGUUAGCAACGGCGAAAAGCUCUUAACGGCCUCUCAAUGCUAUUUAUCGACCACAGCUGGACCGAUGGCAGGCCUCCUGUUUAUUUCCACUGAUAAAAUUGUUGGAAAAAUUGGUCGACUUUGGCACGAGUUUUGAGUGGGACCCAGUUGUUUUAUUUGAAAGAUAAAAGUUGAUUUGUAUUCUCUUCCGUGAGUACAUCGAAAUCAUAUACUUACUUGCUAAAGUUGAUACUCGGGUGAAUGAGAAAUUGAGGUUCAAAGUGUGCCACUCAAAAGGGAGUUUAUGUGGGAAAAAUGAAUUUGUCUCACAUAGGAAAAAGAUGAGGAACUCCAAAAGUCAUUGCCAUUAAUGGUAGCCUAGCCUAUAAAUAGUGACUCAUUUUCCUCAUUUCAACACACAAACAAAAAAAAAAAAAAAGCAAAAACUUUCAAGUUUAGAAUAUACUAGAAAUUCAUUUGCGUAGAGUUCUCUCUUGGUGGUGGUGUAGUUCAGGCACUAGUUCAGUUCGCCGGAGUGGUUUCUGCGGUGCUCGGAAGCUACUAGUUUUACCGUUGUAUCCUGAAAAAUGGACGCUCGUUUUAAACCUCAAGCACAGACGGUGAG